rnacentral:rRNA from 1 species
AACGAACGCUGGCGGCGUGCCUAACACAUGCAAGUCGAACGAGACCUUCGGGUCUAGUGGCGCACGGGUGCGUAACGCGUGGGAACCUGCCCUUAGGUUCGGAAUAACUCCCCGAAAGGGGUGCUAAUACCGGAUAAUGUCUUCGGACCAAAGAUUUAUCGCCUUUGGAUGGGCCCGCGUUGGAUUAGCUAGUUGGUAGGGUAAAAGCCUACCAAGGCGACGAUCCAUAGCUGGUCUGAGAGGAUGAUCAGCCACACUGGGACUGAGACACAGCCCAGACUCCUACGGGAGGCAGCAGUGGGGAAUAUUGGACAAUGGGCGAAAGCCUGAUCCAGCAAUGCCGCGUGAGUGAUGAAGGCCUUAGGGUUGUAAAGCUCUUUUACCCGGGAUGAUAAUGACAGUACCGGGAGAAUAAGCUCCGGCUAACUCCGUG